rnacentral:rRNA from 1 species
UGAAUACGAGACGCUAAGGCGACGAAGUAGUGUAUGUCAUACUUCCAAGAAAAGCUUACACUGUCAUAGAUAAAAAACGCCUGUACCAUAACCGACACAGGUGGGUAGGUAGAGUAUACUAAGGGGCGCGAGAUAACUCUCUCUAAGGAACUCGGCAAAAUAACUCCGUAACUUCGGGAGAAGGGGUGCCUUAUUCGUAAGGUUGCAAUAACAAGAUCCAAGCAACUGUUUAUCAAAAACACAGGUCUCCGCUAAGUCGUAAGACGAUGUAUGGGGGCUGACGCCUGCCCAGUGCCAGAAGGUUAAAGAAGUUGGUUAGCAAUUGCGAAGCUGAUAACUGAAGCCCUGGUGAACGGCGGCCGUAACAAUAACGGUCCUAAGGUAGCGAAAUUCCUUGUCGGGUAAGUUCCGACCCGCACGAAGGGCGUAAUGAUUUGGAUACUGUCUCGGAGAGGGGCUCGGUGAAAUAGACUUGUCUGUGAAGAUGCGGACUACCUGCACCAGGACAGAAAGACCCUAUGAAGCUUUACUGUAACUUGAAAUUGAAAUUGGACUUUAUUCGCGCAGUAUAGGUGGGAGGCGUUGAUUAUAAUCUUGUGGGAUUAUUGGAGCCAUCAGUGAGAUACCACUCUUGUAAUGUUAGAUUUCUAACUUUGAAUCAUUAUCUGGUCAAAGAACAGUUUCAGGCGGGCAGUUUGACUGGGGCGGUCGCCUCCUAAACGGUAACGGAGGCGUACAAAGGUUUCCUCUGAACGGUUAGAAAUCGUAUCUAGAGUGUAAAGGCAUAAGGAAGCUUGACUGUGAGACCUACAAGUCGAGCAGGGACGAAAGUCGGUCUUAGUGAUCUGACGGUACUGAGUGGAAAGGCCGUCACUCAACGGAUAAAAGUUACUCUAGGAUAACAGGCUGAUCUCCCCCAAGAGUUCACAUCGACGGGGAGGUUUGGCACCUCGAUGUCGGCUCAUCGCAUCCUGGGGCGGUAGUACGUCCCAAGGGUUGGGCUGUUCGCCCAUGAAAGCGGUACGCGAGCUGGGUUCAGAACGUCGUGAGACAGUUCGGUCCAUAUCCGGUGUAGGCGUUAGAAUAUUGAGAGGAGCCUUCUUUAGUACGAGAGGACCGAGAAGGACAUACCUCUGGUGUACCAGUUAUCGUGCCAACGGUAAACGCUGGGUAGCUAUGUAUGGAGUGGAUAACCGCUGAAAGCAUCUAAGUGGGAAGCCCACCUCAAGAUAAGUAUUCUCAUC